GAUGAACGCUGGCGGCGUGCCUAAUACAUGCAAGUCGAGCGAACGGACGAGAAGCUUGCUUUUCUGAUGUUAGCGGCGGACGGGUGAGUAACACGUGGAUAACCUACCUAUAAGACUGGGAUAACUUCGGGAAACCGGAGCUAAUACCGGAUAAUAUUUUGAACCGCAUGGUUCAAUAGUGAAAGACGGUCUUGCUGUCACUUAUAGAUGGAUCCGCGCUGCAUUAGCUAGUUGGUAAGGUAACGGCUUACCAAGGCAACGAUGCAUAGCCGACCUGAGAGGGUGGUCGGCCACACUGGAAGUGAGACACGGUCCAUACUCCUACGGGAGGCAGCAGUAGGGAACCUUCCGCAAUGGGCGGAAGCCUGACGGAGCAACGCCGCGUGAGAGAUGAAGGUCUUCGGAUCGUAAAACUCGGUUAUUAGGGGAGAACAGAUGUGUAAGUAACUGUGCACGUCUUGACGGUACCUAAUCAGAAAGCCACGGCUAACUACGUG
rnacentral:rRNA from 1 species